rnacentral:rRNA from 1 species
AUAUCAGUCAUGCAUAGCAUAUCAAUAAGCGGAGGAAAAGAAACUAACAAGGAUUCCCCUAGUAACGGCGAGUGAAGCGGGAAGAGCUCAAAUUUGAAAUCUUAAAGGGUUUCCCUUUACGAAUUGUAGUUUAAAGAAGUGUUUUCUGUUGGAGUUUCGGUAAAAGUUCUUUGGAAUAGGACAUCAUAGAGGGUGAGAAUCCCGUAUUUGACCGUUACUUUCCAGCUGUGUGAUACACUUUCAAAGAGUCGGAUUGUUUGGGAAUGCAGUCCAAAAUGGGUGGUAAAUUUCAUCUAAAGCUAAAUAUUGGCGAGGACCGAUAGCGAACAAGUACCGUGAGGGAAAGAUGAAAAGAACUUUGAAAAGAGAGUUAAACAGUACGUGAAAUUGUCAAAAGGGAAGCGUUUGACACCAGUGUUGUUUUUCCGAAAAUCAAUUAAGAAUGCGGAUUUUGUUUUAAGUAUUGACUUUAUCAGGCUUUGCUUCCUUUUUUCCUGUAACUUUCUUAAUGCACUUUUCGGUUAACAAGUCAACAUCAAUUUCUUUUGUUGUAAAAGGGUAUGAGGAAGGUGGCUUUCUUUUCGGAGAAGUGUUUAUAGCCUUGUGCCUCUGCAAUCGGAGAGAUUGAGGUCUGCAGCGUAGAUCCUUCGGGGUUAGAUACAGUUUGUGCUAAGUUAUAGCUUUUCAUAGACAACUUGUUGACUAUGUUUAGUCUUGUAGCUUACUCGCUGAUGCUAUUUUACCUACGCUUAGGAUGUUGAUCUCUCACAGUCGAGC